UGAGGAAUAUUGGUCAAUGGGCGAGAGCCUGAACCAGCCAAGUAGCGUGCAGGAUGACGGCCCUAUGGGUUGUAAACUGCUUUUAUAUGGGAAUAAAGUGAGGGACGUGUCCCUUAUUGCAUGUACCAUAUGAAUAAGGACCGGCUAAUUCCGUGCCAGCAGCCGCGGUAAUACGGAAGGUCCAGGCGUUAACCGGAUUUAUUGGGUUUAAAGGGAGCGUAGGCUGUUUGUUAAGCGUGUUGUGAAAUGUAAGAGCUCAACUUUUAGAUUGCAGCGCGAACUGGCAGACUUGAGUGCGCACAACGUAGGCGGAAUUCAUGGUGUAGCGGUGAAAUGCUUAGAUAUCAUGACGAACUCCGAUUGCGAAGGCAGCUUACGGGAGCGCAACUGACGCUAAAGCUCGAAGGUGCGGGUAUCGAACAGG
rnacentral:rRNA from 1 species